rnacentral:rRNA from 1 species
AUUGAACGCUGGCGGCACGCCUAACACAUGCAAGUCGAGCGGUAACAUGAUCUGUAGCAAUACAGAUUGAUGACGAGCGGCGGACGGGUGAGGAACACGUAGGAAUCUACCUUAGAGAGGGGGACAACCAAGGGAAACUUUGGCUAAUACCGCAUAAUCUCGAGAGAGAAAAGCUGCCCGCAAGGGUGGCGCUUUAAGAGGAGCCUGCGUCCGAUUAGCUAGUUGGUGAGGUAAAGGCUCACCAAGGCGAUGAUCGGUAACUGGUCUGAGAGGACGACCAGUCACACGGGGACUGAGACACGGCCCAGACUCCUACGGGAGGCAGCAGUGGGGAAUCUUGGACAAUGGGGGCAACCCUGAUCCAGCGAUGCCGCGUGGGUGAAGAAGGCCUUCGGGUUGUAAAGCCCUUUAGGUUGGGAAGAAGGUUAGUCGUUUAAGAGAUAGCUAACUUGACUGUACCGACAGAAUAAGCACCGGCAAACUCUGUGCCAGCAGCCGCCGUAAAAC